rnacentral:lncRNA from 1 species
CAUUGGAAAUUGUGCAUUUCAUAUUAAAUGUUUGAUUUUUUAAAAAAUAAUUGUUGUCAUUCAACCGAGCCUCUUCAAGUAUCUAAACUGAGCACGAGCACCCGGUCUGAGUGACUUCAUCGUCGGCGGCAGCGGCGCUUGAACCAAGAUACCUCACCAUCAAAUCAAUACCAUCGGCUUUAUUGAUAAUGAUGUGGUUGUCCAACAGAGUACCCUCAAUGGGGAGAUGCAACAGACAAUACACGUUCUGGUAUUUAUCACUAGAUUUGGAAUAUAGAAUCUGUGCAACAGUUCAACAUACAUUACAACAGAAUCUCAAUCUCAGAAAUUGAAGAAAAAAUAUCU